UACGUAGGGUGCGAGCGUUAAUCGGAAUUACUGGGCGUAAAGCGUGCGCAGGCGGUGAUGUAAGACAGGUGUGAAAUCCCCGGGCUUAACCUGGGAACUGCAUUUGUGACUGCAUCGCUGGAGUGCGGCAGAGGGGGAUGGAAUUCCGCGUGUAGCAGUGAAAUGCGUAGAUAUGCGGAGGAACACCGAUGGCGAAGGCAAUCCCCUGGGCCUGCACUGACGCUCAUGCACGAAAGCGUGGGGAGCGAAACA
rnacentral:rRNA from 1 species